rnacentral:rRNA from 1 species
AGGGAAUCUUCGGCAAUGGACGGAAGUCUGACCGAGCAACGCCGCGUGAGUGAAGAAGGUUUUCGGAUCGUAAAGCUCUGUUGUAAGAGAAGAACGAGUGUGAGAGUGGAAAGUUCACACUGUGACGGUAUCUUACCAGAAAGGGACGGCUAACUACGUGCCAGCAGCCGCGGUAAUACGUAGGUCCCGAGCGUUGUCCGGAUUUAUUGGGCGUAAAGCGAGCGCAGGCGGUUAGAUAAGUCUGAAGUUAAAGGCUGUGGCUUAACCAUAGUAGGCUUUGGAAACUGUUUAACUUGAGUGCAAGAGGGGAGAGUGGAAUUCCAUGUGUAGCGGUGAAAUGCGUAGAUAUAUGGAGGAACACCGGUGGCGAAAGCGGCUCUCUGGCUUGUAACUGACGCUGAGGCUCGAAAGCGUGGGGAGCAAACAGGAUUAGAUACCCUGGUAGUCCACGCUGUAAACGAUGAGUGCUAGGUGUUAGACCCUUUCCGGGGUUUAGUGCCGUAGCUAACGCAUUAAGCACUCCGCCUGGGGAGUACGACCGCAAGGUUG